rnacentral:lncRNA from 1 species
UGACGGAAAACGGAAGGAAUUGCCGCCAGUUCCUUUCCACGGGCCGUCAAGGCCAAUAUAAGUCCCCACCCAGGCUCCUCUGCUCGUAACUUCCAGCACGACUCCCACUGUAUUCGCCCAUGUUUCCCAAAAGAUCCCGACUCAGAUUGAAAAAGCAGAGGAUGGUCACUGCCUUCCAGGUCUGAGGCUGUCUCCCAGAAACUUCAUUCCUCGCUUCGCCUUGGUUCUCCAUCACUUUCUGAGUCCUACAGGAGGAAAGUGCUAUUGAAGAUGAGGCGCGUAUGGCGUGAAGUUCUGGGGCUGGGAGAAGCUGCCCCGCUACUUCCGGGUGGCCUUGCCUGCAGGGAGCAGUUCACAACCUAGUGCUGUCCACUUGCAUGGGAUGUUUCUUUUCCAUCACAAUGCUCUGAGAUAACGAAGUCGAGGGAAGUUUGUGCAGCCCUCCAGACCCUCCAGAUUUCAAAGGAAAGCCCACCGCUGCUGGUCUGGGGGAGCUGAUGGCCUAUUCAUGGAUGAGAUGGACUAAGGACAGUGGGAAGCACAAUGGACCAACAGUAUUGUUGGAGGGGACUGCGUGAGGAAGCAGGAGCCUAAACAACACUCUCCAGAUACUGCGUGAA